GAUGAACGCUGGCGGCGUGCCUAAUACAUGCAAGUCGAACGAACAGACGAGGAGCUUGCUCCUCUGACGUUAGCGGCGGACGGGUGAGUAACACGUGGAUAACCUACCUAUAAGACUGGGAUAACUUCGGGAAACCGGAGCUAAUACCGGAUAAUAUCUUCAACCGCAUGGUUCAAUAGUGAAAGACGGUUUUGCUGUCACUUAUAGAUGGAUCCGCGCCGCAUGAGCUAGUUGGUAAGGUAACGGCUUAGCAAGGCGACGAUGCGUAGCCGACCUGAGAGAGUGAUCGCCCACACGAGAGCUGAGACACGGACCAGACUCCUACGAGAGGCAGCAGUAGGGAAUGUGCCGCAGUGGGCGAAAGCCUGACGGAGCAACCCAGCGUGAGUUAUGAAGGUCCUCGGAUCGGAAUAAACUGUUAUUAGGGAAGAACAAAUGUGUAAGUAACUAUGCCCGUAUUGACGGUACCUAAUCAGAAAGCCACGGCUAACUACGUG
rnacentral:rRNA from 1 species